AGUCCAGACGAAGUCUUCCUGCAGUCGAAGUUGGAGAUGAAGUCCGGCUCCCGUAGGAGUCCGGAUGAAGUCUUCCCACUGUCGAGGUUGGAGAUGGAGUCCGGCUCCCGUAGGAAUCCGGACGAAGUCUUCCUGUAGUCAAAGUUGGAGAUGAAGUCUGGCUCCCGUAGGAGUCCGGAUGAAGUCUUCCUGCUGCUGAAGUCGGGGACGGAGUCCGGCACCCAUAGGAGUCCGGACGAAGUCUUCCUGUAGUCGAAGUUGGAGAUGAAGUCCGACUCUCGUAGGAGUCCGGACGAAGUCUUCCUGC
rnacentral:lncRNA from 1 species